GUGCUCGCUUGGGCAGCACAUAUACUAAAACUGGAACAAUACAGAGAUUAGCACAGUCCCUGUGCAUGGAUGACAUGUAAAUUUGUAAAGUGUUCCAUAUUUUU